UCUCAAUCACUGUAACAAGAGCUUAUAAAUGCAAGCUCUCUAAACUUUCUCUCAACUGCUAGAUUGCUCUCUCAAAAUGGAAUGCCUAAACUCUUCAUCUGCACUUCUAUUUAUAGCAAACUAGUAGCCAAGAAAAUCAAAGCCGUGUUCACCAAAUUCUUCAUCAAAACCGUGUGCAUCAAAUUCAAUCUUCAAACUUGUUGCAAGCUGACCAUUCUUGUCAAAGCUUCUAGAUGCAGCCAUGCCAAACACUUCUAGAUGCAGCCAUGCCAAACACUUCUAGAUGCAGCCAUGCCAAACACUUCUAGAUGCAGCCA
rnacentral:lncRNA from 1 species